UCAGCCCUAGUUGCAAGAGUUGUACUUGUACCUUCUCCAUUUUCUCUGUGAUCUAUUUAUUUUACUCUUCUUCUCACUUUUGUCUUUAUGUCUGAGAUAGACGAACACUUAUUUUAUUCUGGGUUCUCUAUAGAUUUUUUAUAUGUAUUUGCUUGUUAUAUGUUUUGGCAAUCUUGUAUUUUUUGAUCUAGAUUCCAUGCUUGAAUUGUAGAUUGUUUUGAUCAAAUCAAGUAUGUACCCCAACUGUUUGAUAACAGUACUCAAUUAGAAACCAUACAUAUUUAGCCUUUCAUUUUGCAAUCACAAAGUCUUAAUGUACUAGACUUUUUUAAAUUUUGGCAGAAUCUUCAAAGUAAUAGACUUGGUGGUGAGAAGUUCGUCAUGAAGGGUUGAUUAUUGAACCCGAUGGAAAUCAUCCUUGCACAUCGAGAAGUAAAGAUGAAUUUGGCUCGUCGUGAGCGAAUCAUGUAACAAUUGGAAAGGAAAGUAACCAGAAGUAAGGAAUAUGCAAUUUUCGAAGCCCAUAAUUUAAAGGAAGAGUGCAUUUCUUACGGUUAUACUUCAUGGCAUCAAGUGCAGAGUAUUGCAAUGGCUGUCACAUAUAUAGAUUACAAAGUCGCAAAAAUCAGUUCAGAAGCUAUGCUUGGAGAUGCUAUGCUUGGAUGGGGCUAUAUUAGGAGAUUCAUGUUGAUUUAAAAAAAAAUUAUGUAUUUUAAUUUCUCUUUAGAAUUACUUUUAAUGUACUAUUUCCGUUCAAGUUCAUUGUAUUUUUACGGUUAAUUUUGAAAGAAUUGAAUUAUAAAAUUAUUUUUAGUUUUUA